rnacentral:rRNA from 1 species
GAGUUUGUAUCCUGGCUCAGAUUGAACGCUGGCGGCAGGCCUAACACAUGCAAGUCGAGCGGAUGACGGGAGCUUGCUCCUUGAUUCAGCGGCGGACGGGUGAGUAAUGCCUAGGAAUCUGCCUGGUAGUGGGGGACAACGUUUCGAAAGGAACGCUAAUACCGCAUACGUCCUACGGGAGAAAGCAGGGGACCUUCGGGCCUUGCGCUAUCAGAUGAGCCUAGGUCGGAUUAGCUAGUUGGUGGGGUAAUGGCUCACCAAGGCGACGAUCCGUAACUGGUCUGAGAGGAUGAUCAGUCACACUGGAACUGAGACACGGUCCAGACUCCUACGGGAGGCAGCAGUGGGGAAUAUUGGACAAUGGGCGAAAGCCUGAUCCAGCCAUGCCGCGUGUGUGAAGAAGGUCUUCGGAUUGUAAAGCACUUUAAGUUGGGAGGAAGGGCAGUAAGUUAAUACCUUGCUGUUUUGACGUUACCGACAGAAUAAGCACCGGCUAACUCUGUGCCAGCAGCCGCGGUAAUACAGAGGGUGCAAGCGUUAAUCGGAAUUACUGGGCGUAAAGCGCGCGUAGGUGGUUUGUUAAGUUGGAUGUGAAAGCCCCGGGCUCAACCUGGGAACUGCAUCCAAAACUGGCAAGCUAGAGUACGGUAGAGGGUGGUGGAAUUUCCUGUGUAGCGGUGAAAUGCGUAGAUAUAGGAAGGAACACCAGUGGCGAAGGCGACCACCUGGACUGAUACUGACACUGAGGUGCGAAAGCGUGGGGAGCAAACAGGAUUAGAUACCCUGGUAGUCCACGCCGUAAACGAUGUCAACUAGCCGUUGGAAUCCUUGAGAUUUUAGUGGCGCAGCUAACGCAUUAAGUGACCGCCUGGGAAUUCGGCCG